UCACACUGAUGUUGGUUCACUGGAAGGAAUUAUUGAUUCUUUGUCGUGUACUGUGGAAGAAUUACCAGAUCUGGCUAAACAGAGAAUUACUACAUUAGAAUCUGACUUGAUGAAUGUUCUUCUUCGUUUAUACCAAUAUACUAUAGAAGAUAAGUGGAUGAUAGUUUCUUUCUUGUUAAAGAUGUAUAAUGAUGUUGAUCUGAAGUUAUCGUAUCUGAAUAUGGCGCCAUCUACUGGUGGAUACAAAGGCACUAAAAUAUUGAAGAACUGAGGUGAAGAUGGGAAAUAUGUUGAAUAGAAGAAAUACUGUUAUGGUUUUUAUUAUUAUAACUUUUAAAAAUAU